rnacentral:rRNA from 1 species
GAUGAACGCUGGCGGCGUGCCUAAUACAUGCGAGUCGAGCGAACGGACGAGAAGCUUGCUUCUCUGAUGUUAGCGGCGGACGGGUGAGUAACACGUGGAUAACCUACCUAUAAGACUGGGAUAACUUCGGGAAACCGUAGCUAAUACCGGAUAAUAUUUUGAACCGCAUGGUUCAAAAGUGAAAGACGGUCUUGCUGUCACUUAUAGAUGGAUCCGCGCUGCAUUAGCUAGUUGGUAAGGUAACGGCUUACCAAGGCAACGAUGCAUAGCCGACCUGAGAGGGUGAUCGGCCACACUGGAACUGAGACACGGUCCAGACUCCUACGGGAGGCAGCAGUAGGGAAUCUGCCGCAAUGGGCGAAAGCCUGACGGAGCAACGCCGCGUGAGUGAUGAAGGUCUUCGGAUCGUAAAACUCUGUUAUUAGGGAAGAACAUAUGUGUAAGUAACUGUGCACAUCUUGACGGUACCUAAUCAGAAAGCCACGGCUAACUACGUG